GUGGGGAAUCUUGCGCAAUGGGCGAAAGCCUGACGCAGCCAUGCCGCGUGAAUGAUGAAGGUCUUAGGAUUGUAAAAUUCUUUCACCGGGGACGAUAAUGACGGUACCCGGAGAAGAAGCUCCGGCUAACUUCGUGCCAGCAGCCGCGGUAAUACGAAGGGGGCUAGCGUUGCUCGGAAUUACUGGGCGUAAAGGGCGCGUAGGCGGACAGCUUAGUCAGAGGUGAGAGCCCAGGGCUCAACCUUGGAAUUGCCUUUGAUACUGGCUGUCUUGAGUUUGGGAGAGGUGAGUGGAACUCCGAGUGUAGAGGUGAAAUUCGUAGAUAUUCGGAAGAACACCAGUGGCGAAGGCGACUCACUGGCCCAAUACUGACGCUGAGGCGCGAAAGCGUGGGGAGCAAACAGGAUUAGAAACCCGAGUAGUCC
rnacentral:rRNA from 1 species